rnacentral:rRNA from 1 species
UACGGAGGGUGCGAGCGUUGUCCGGAAUCACUGGGCGUAAAGGGCGCGUAGGCGGUCACGACAAGUCAGUUGUGAAAUCUCCGGGCUUAACUCGGAACGGUCAACUGAUACUGUCGGACUAGAGUGCAGAAGGGGCAACUGGAAUUCUCGGUGUAGCGGUGAAAUGCGUAGAUAUCGAGAGGAACACCUGCGGCGAAGGCGGGUUGCUGGGCUGACACUGACGCUGAGGCGCGAAAGCUAGGGGAGCGAACGGG